ensembl:lncRNA
CUGCGACACAACUUACCCUGUCCUGCGACACAACUUACCCUGUCCUGCGACUCAAUUAUCCUGUCCUGCGACACAACCUCCCUGUCCUGCGACACAACCUACCCUGUCCUGCGACUCACCUACCCUGUCCUGCGACUCAACGUAUCCUGUCCUGCGACUCAACCUACCCUGUCCUGCGACACAACCUACCCUGUCCUGCGACACAACUUACCAUGUCCUGCGACACAACUUACCCUGUCCUGCGACUCAACUUACCCUGUCCUGCAACUCAACUUACCCUGUCCUGCAACUCAACCUACCCUGUCCUGUUUUCAAGAGAACACAUGUUUUCAAAACUGUUGUGUUUACAUGAAUUUGGAUUAAUUCCAGGGAUACACAUCAUCCUGAAAUAUAUCUAGAUAUCUUUGUUAGGAAGAAUGCUAUUUUUCUCUUGAAGGAGUGAAUGUAAAAUAUAAAAAUUGGCUCAACUUACCCCACUCUCCAGUGUCCAAAACACCAGUCAGAUAUUAAUGGUCAUCAGAGCAUGUGUCGAUACUAAUAUGCUGGAAAGCAAGGGAGUGCUGCUCUCGGAUCAGCUUUCUCCAUUAAAAUCAUUAGAAUUAUUUCACAAUUGCCUACUGACGAUUUAUCAACUCCUAUUACCACAUAGGGCUGCAAAUAUUGACCAAUCUUAGUCUAAUGCUUACCCCCACCCCCCAAAAUGCACUAAAUCACCGAUUUGGCACAUCAUUGCGCACAUGUUAGUCUACAAAUCAUGAAAUAUAUUGAGACAAAUUACAGACAGUAGCCUACAAGUUGCAAAAAAAAGCUCAAUUGAUUAACAUGAAAUGUAUUUCAAUAUGAUUGAAUUAGGCCUAUAGCCUACUGUUUAUAUUUUAAUGCAGUCAUCUAGGUUUUAAUUUAAAGCAGAGUUUUAUACAUCACUUGUUUGUAUAAACUGCAAAGACAUUGGCAACUUUGUAGGCUACUUGGAGACAACUUUGUUCUGAAAUUAUCGGCGGCCAAAGAGAGACGGAUAAACAAUUUGAUUCUAUGUUUAGCUGAAACCUGUAUAUAAAGUGAAGCGGAUGGUCAAAAUAGCAUUUAACGACGCAAUUAUUUAUUCUACGAGUGGUCUGAAGCAAGCAUUAGACUACGAGCGUUUUCAAAUGCAACGUUAAUAACGAUGGUUUUGGGAAAUAGCUCGGAGAUUUAAUUAAACGACGAUGAAUUUUGCCUAAAAUGCUUUUGGGAAACCGCGCCCUGAGCGAGGAAGAGACAAAGCGAGAGGCAUGACUCCGCCCCUAAAUCUGUCAGCGAGAAAAAUACAACGAGAAACAGACGAAGUGGGGAUUGUUUUUGUAUGAAGGUCAUGUUUUGUCUGAUUGAACAUGGUAAAUAGGCGUUUAUAAAUGCACUGCAUAGACUACUGUGCUUUGAUAAAUUACGAUGAAUAACGUUCUAAAAAAAAGGACAUGCUUGAACUUCCUUCUGUCACAAUGCAUUGCUGCAUUAUGACGUCAUACAUGUUCUCGAAUCACCCGUUCAGGAGAUGAGGUGGUGGAAACUCAGCGAAGUGAAAAGAGACGUCAAGUGGUGUUUACUGGACGAUAACAGAAUCCCAAACGUCUGAAAUUGAAACAAAAUCCCCGUAGGUUUCUUUGAUGAUAUAAUCUUGCAUUCUUCUAUUACACUGACAAUGUCUACCUUAUAGUCCUACACUGUAAAGUUCUCAUUGA